rnacentral:lncRNA from 1 species
CUCAAAGCCCACCCUCUGUGACGUACUUCCUAGGCUGCAGCACCUAAACCAACUGAUUUCCUCAGGGAGACCAACAUCUCAUUCAAACCACGGCAGCCUGCAAAAGCUAGGCUUCGUUCUUAUGUGUGUGUCCAGGAUCUUUCGUGGGCCCAAAGAGCUGGAGCGGGUCUUUACUGACUUACCGCUGGUAUUUGCCACAGAAGCAGAAGCGAAGACCUCACAUCAUGAUGCUGGCUUCUGCUGCAUGUAAAGGCUAUGCUGUGGUGCUGUGAUAUGAGUUAUAUGUGCCAUAGCAUGCAGAGAAAGAAUAUUUGAUCAAGGACCAAGACAUCUUACAGAAGAAAGGGUUUACAGUUCCAGAGUGAUGAGCAUUCAUGGUGACAGAGUUGAAGCAUAAAGCAUGACAGCAGGUGACAGGCAAGACUACACAAGGAGGAAACUGAGAGUUCACACUUGACAAAGCAGAGAAUGGGAAUUGGAGUGUAAACUGAAGACCAGAAGCUGACCUUUGGAGACAUCUAGUCCAGCAGAGCAGCUGCUGCAUUCUCAGUAUCUUCAACGUGAGACAACCAUGUCGGAAAACCCAACCCAUAUCACUUUCAGGUUCUGAUGUCGCCAUCUGGCCUAAGGCCCCUGCAUGCACUGGUGCUACUGCGUAUGAACUCACAUAAGCGCACGCAAACACAUAAAAACAAGAUAAAGUUUCACAUCGAAACAUUCGCACCACAGCAUGGACGCUUCUCUCUGCACUUGGACAUAUUUUCAGUGGAAUGAGAAUACAGACAAAAAGAGGCAAUAGGCACCUGUAAUGAAGUUCUGACAAUAAAAGAAGUUGGGCAUCUCAUUUCCAUCUUGCAUGCCAAAUCUUUCAUCCUCUCCUGGAAGAUGACCCCAACACAUCAAGCGCAAGAGAAUGAAGACACAGAACAUUCCACUGCAGUCAUGUCUGGUGAGGCUUUCUCCCCCAACAACAAAAAGAGUUUGUACAGAAUGCAAUGCCAUAAACAUGAAUCAUGUCGCCCUUACUGCGGACUCAGAGAGACGAGGCCUCCUGGACCACUAGAUCACUGUCAUCCCCUGGGAGAGUAAAUAACAGGGAAUCUACGCACAACCCAGAGCUUACCUUCCUGCAGCCAGCCCAGGGCCAUCACCCUCCGGUCUGACAGAAUAGCACAGAUAGGAGAAGGUACAGGAACCAUAGGACAUGACUUCCAAGGCCAGAGAUAAUUGAAUUACCUGGUUGUCAGCCGUGAUGAAUAUGAGCCACGAAGGCGGUAUAAAUGUCCUAUUUGUUCCAUGUCCCCGGUAGCACCUCCAGCUUUUUGUUUCUAUGUUGGGACUGAGUGACCUCUACUCCACAGUAUGGCCAUUUCCAGCCCCUGGGGACCUCUAAGGCACCCCUGGGAGGCAAUUGUGAUAUCAGCCAUGAAUUCCGUACCAGCGUGACAAAAUGUUCUACUAUGGGAUUGUGUGAGUCAUGUAAACUUCCUUAAUUCCCCUUAAGUUAAAGAUGAUAUUUGCCAAUAACCUAUGUAUUGUUUUCUUUCCUUCAUCUUUGUUGGCCAGGCAAAUCUCACCUGCUUUCCCUUGGCAUUUUAAAUCUACCUUCUCUGGAGAUUUUUUUGUCUGAAAUUUUGUAAACCUUAAAACUGGUUUGGAGAGAUUCUUG